GAGAGACAAUCCUAAUCACACAAGUCCUUAAAAGCUGAGAACUUCCUCCUGCUGGGGACAGGACAGAUGAGGCAGAAGGGGAGGUUAGGGAGGUUUGAAGAGUGAGAAGAACUUCUGCAGUGGCUGACUUGGAAGAUGAAGGAGGUUAUGAACCAGGGAAUGGGGGCAGCCUCUAGAGGCUGAGAACCUGCUGACACCUACCCACAACCACUAAGGAAAUGAAGACUUUAAUUCCACAACUGCAUGCAACUAAACUCAGCCAACAACCUGAAUAAGUCUGAAAAAGGCUUCUCCAGAGCCUCCAGAUAAGAGGCCAGGCUGGCGACACACCUUGAUUUUGACCUUGUGAGACCUAGAGCAGAGAAACUAGCCAAGAUCACUCAGACUUCUGAUCUACAGAACUGUGAGACCGUAAAUUUAUGUUGUAUUAAGCCACUAAUUGUGUGGGAAUUUGUUACAGGAGCAAUAGAAAAUGAAUACACCGUCUGAUGUAGUUUAAUCAGUUGACAUUAGGGGUGACACCAAGAUGUGCUACACUGAACCCAACUUCUGCAUGUUUAAGACAAGACGCAAGGUCAAAAAUUUACAUCAGGUAUCUGAAUGUGUAGCAUAUACAACUGAGUGUUGAAAGAAGACAAAAUCGUUUUCAUCACGAAGAAUAUGUGCUCAGUAAGAAUCAGAAUGUUCAAUUGUGUGAAGGUGGGAGAUGGGAAGAUUGGUAUUAUGGCCUGGAUCCAGAAAUCAGAUCACGAAGAAGUUUUUUACAAUGAGCAGAACACUCAACCUGAAAGCAGAAUGGAUUGAGUCACUGCAGCGUGGCAGUGGAAUGGUGCUUGAUGUUGGCAAAGGAAACAUGUACUUCUAGACUGGACAGUUUUCCCUCAGUUUACAGUUUCCAAAUAGAGACAUCACUUUGAAAUAACAUGGAGAACAUACGUGGAUGUACUGAACGAAGAAUAAAGUCUGUGUUGCAGUCCUGUCUCCAUUGACUUUUACAAAUAUGGCUUUGGAUGAAUCACCUAACUUUUAUUUUUGAGAAUUUACACUUACCAUGUAUAAAAUGAUAGUGCUAAUAUGUUUGCUGCCUACCCCAUUGGGUUUUGUGAGGAA
rnacentral:lncRNA from 1 species